rnacentral:rRNA from 1 species
AGGACUAACGCUGGCGGCGUGCCUAACACAUGCAAGUCGAACGAGGUAGCAAUACCUAGUGGCAGACGGGUGAGUAACGCGUGGUCAACCUACCUCUUAGUGGGGGAUAACUAGCCGAAAGGUUAGCUAAUACCGCAUACGAUCGUCGCGAGGCAUCUCGUGACGAUGAAAGGAGCAAUUCGCUAAGAGAGGGGACUGCGUCCCAUUAGUUAGUUGGUGGGGUAAUGGCCCACCAAGACUCCGAUGGGUAGCUGGCUUGAGAGAGCGACCAGCCACACUGGAACUGAGACACGGUCCAGACUCCUACGGGAGGCAGCAGUGAGGAAUUUUCCGCAAUGGGCGCAAGCCUGACGGAGCGACGCCGCGUGUGGGAAGAAGGCCUUCGGUCGUAAACCACUGUCGAAGGGACGGAUAUUGACGGUACCGUUGGAGGAAGCCCCGGCGUAACUACGCGCCGAGCAGCCGC